AUUGAACGCUGGCGGCAGGCCUAACACAUGCAAGUCGAACGGUAGCACAGAGAGCUUGCUCUCGGGUGACGAGUGGCGGACGGGUGAGUAACGUCUGGGAAACUGCCCGAUGGAGGGGGAUAACUACUGGAAACGGUAGCUAAUACCGCAUAACGUCGCAAGACCAAAGUGGGGGAACUUCGGGCCUCACACCAUCGGAUUGGCCCAGAUGGGAUUAGCUAGUAGGUGGGGUAAUGGUUCACCUAGGCGACGAUCCCUAGCUGGUCUGAGAGGAUGACCAGCCACACUGGAACUGAGACCCGGUCCAGACUCCUACGGGAGGCAGCAGUGGGGAAUAUUGCACAAUGGGCGCAAGCCUGAUGCAGCCAUGCCGCGUGUAUGAAGAAGGCCUUCGGGUUGUAAAGUACUUUCAGCGGGGAGGAAGGCGGUGAAGUUAAUAACUUCACCGAUUGACGUUACCCGCAGAAGAAGCACCGGCUAACUCCGUGCCAGCCGCCGCAGUAA
rnacentral:rRNA from 1 species